UGCGUAGUAGCCGCCCAGGAAGGAGAAAGGUCAGCAAGAAGAGGACGACUGAGCUGCCAUUCCUUCCUCCUCCGUUGCGGCCUUCUCUGUGGUCGUUGCGGAGCACUCGGCAGCGCCAUGUUGGGACAGAGCGUGCGCAGGUUCUCCACCUCCUUGGUGCGCAGGAGCCACUAUGAGGAGGGCCCGGGGAAGAACCUGCCCUUUUCAGUGGAAAACAAAUGGCGGUUGUUGGCAAUGAUGACUGUAUACUUUGGUUCUGGAUUUGCGGCACCUUUCUUUAUAGUAAGACAUCAGUUGCUUAAGAAGUAAGAGUCUUCCGUAUAGGACUCAGAAACAUCAGGGAGCUGCUGAAGACUUUUGAAAGGGAAGUAGCAUGGUAACAGGAAGAUUUGCUCUUUUUUGAAGAAUGAGUUGGAAAGGCUUGAAAAACAACCACCUAUAAAAACUUUUGAAGAAUGGAUAAAGCAAUGUGUUUACCAGGGUGUAUGUCUUUCUAAAUUAAACUAUUAAAUGAA